rnacentral:lncRNA from 14 species
GGUUUUCAUCUACUGUAGUAAAAGGAAAUGGCUCUUUGGAGUGUCAGUAAAAGAGGAGCACAUUUUUACUUUCUUAAGACUAAUGACAAGAUCUGCAGCUGAAAAGUGUUUACGUACAACAUCUCUGCUCGUUUGGGAUACCAUUUGGAGGCAUAAAUCUCUACCCACUGGUUAUGUAGCAUAGUCUCAGGCUGGGCCAUGUUUUCACAGAACCAGGAAUUCAGUACCAGGGUAACUGCAAUAUUUGGAAAAAGGACUAAGUUCAAGGAAUACAUAAAGGUGAUAAGUAUUUAACUACUUCACUUCAGGUUUUUUUUUUCCAUUGUUUUA